CGCCGAGCAUCUGUCCCACGCAAGGAAAUUACAUACGCAGAUGCGCGAACAUUUAUGCCGUAACAAGAUUUUCUCACCUCUGCACAUGUGCAAGAAUUACAGAGAACAACACUUUAGGCCCUGCGGGUGAAGGGUGGGACCAGAGUCACAGCUCUCAUGAGCAUGGAAUCAAUUACAUGCAGAUAAGCUCCAAGGCCGCAAACUUUUAAAGAAACGGACGCCAUCAGAGGACUACUGUGACUUAAGGAAGUAUAUGGACUGUGAGAUACAGGAGGACAACAAUAAUAAUAAUAAUAAUAAAAGGCUCCACAUCACAAAAAGAUGGAAACAGUUGUGGGACUUUUGUGCUACUGGUGAAUGCUCUUACCCUGAGUAUCCGUCCCAGACAACUGGUACACCAUGAUGUAGAAUGAGGAUGUUCAUGUACAACAAACUCGAGUAAAAUGCAAGCCCUCCAGUUGUAAUGUUCAAUUCCAGUGUUUGUGUGUGUAAACACAUGUACUCAAAUUUAUUGUCUGUUGUAGUUACAUGCAUGACAACCUGUACUUUGUAACCAAACAAAUCAUACUUUUAGCCAACAGACUUGCUUUAAAGUGUUAAAAAAAAAUAAAAAAAAAUGUGGUGGAGAGAAAAUGUGCCCUGUCACUUUAAGGAUCCGCCGCCAAUCCCAAACCUGAGAGUAUAAAACGGCUGCUCAUUUGAGUGCACCAGGUGUGUGAGACAGAAGUGUGGGGUGAACAGAAUUAGUGCAUGGAGAAAGUUUGCCCAGUGUACGUGUGAUAUCAGGAGCACCAUUGGAGUGAGAAAAGAACAAAGAGGACUACAAGAAGGUACUAACUAGUGUUUAACAUUUUUUGCCUGGAUACAAAGAAUGGACCAAACCAUCUAACCAUUGACUCAAUGUUUAAAACAGAGUAGCGUGAGUAGCAGAGGAUUGCUGACCUGCUGAAGUGCUCUGUAGUAGAGUUAAGUUAGAUACAAGUUUCUGAAGUGCCAGGUGAUGACCUAGGUUUGCUGACCUACUCCAUACCUUUGGUUGUGACUCUACCUCUGUGUCCUUGAAGCCUCAAACCACAACCAAGUACUUUCCUAACAGCACCCUCUCAUUCUUGUAUUGCCUUGCAUUUGUGUAAGAUCUGUUUGCCUUUGUUCUUUUUAAAUAAUACACAAGUGAGAAUUGAAACUUUUUUUUUUUUUGUAUGUGUAUUCUUUGAGUUCAAACAACUGUGUGCAUUUUAACAUUGUGUAACAGGUGGCUUAGAGCUA